GGGACGUACCUUUCGCUAAGGAAUAGCUCCGGGAAACUGGUGGUAACUACCUUAUACGCCCUUAGGGGGAAAGAUUUAUCGGCGAAAGAUCGGCCCGCGUUGGAUUAGCUAGUUGGUGAGGUAAUGGCUCACAAAGGCGACGAUCCAUAGCUGGUCUGAGAGGAUGAUCAGCCACACUGGGACUGAGACACGGCCCAGACUCCUACGGGAGGCAGCAGUGGGGAAUCUUGCACAAUGGGCGAAAGCCUGAUGCAGCCAUGCCGCGUGAAUGAUGAAGGCCUUAGGGUUGUAAAAUUCUUUCGUCAGGGAUGAUAAUGACCGUACCUGAAGAAGAAGCCCCGGCUAACUUCGUGCCAGCAGCCGCGGUAAUACGAAGGGGGCUAGCGUUGUUCGGAAUUACUGGGCGUAAAGCGCACGUAGGCGGACUUUUAAGUCAGGUGUGAAAUCCCGGGGCUCAACCUCGGAACUGCAUUUGAAACUGGAAGUCUUGAGAUCAGGAGAGGUUAGCGGAAUACCGAGUGUAGAGGUGAAAUUCGUAGAUAUUCGGUGGAACACCAGUGGCGAAGGCGGCUAACUGGACUGAUACUGACGCUGAGGUGCGAAAGUGUGGGGAGCAAACAGGAUUAGAUACCCUGGUAGUCCACACCGUAAACGAUGAGAGCUAGUUGUUGGCAGGCAUGCCUGUCGGUGACGCAGUUAACACAUUUAAGCUCUCCGCCUGGGGAGUAACGGCCGCAAGGUUUAAAACCUCAAAGAAAUUGACGGGGGCCCGCACAAGCUGUGGAACUAUGUUGGUUUAAUUCAAAGC
rnacentral:rRNA from 1 species